rnacentral:rRNA from 1 species
CCUACGGGAGGCAGCAGUCGGGAAUAUUGCGCAAUGGGGGAAACUCUGACGCAGUGACGCCGCGUAUAGGAAGAAGGUUUUCGGAUUGUAAACUCUUGUCGUCCGGGGAGAAAUUGACCGUACCUCAGGAGGCAGCGCCGGCUAACCAUGUGCCAGCAGCCGCGGUAAGCCAUCGGGCGCAAGCGGUAUCACGAUUUAUUGGGUGUAAAGGGUGCGUUGUCGGGAAUUUAAGUUAGGUGGGAAAUCCCUCGGGUUAACCGAGGAACUGCAAUUCAAACUGCUGUUCUUGAGUGCUGGAGAGGAAAGCGGAAUGCGUAGUGUAGCGGUGAAAUGCGUAGAUAUUAGGAAGAACACCAGUGGCGAAGGCGGCUUUCUGGA